AGAGUUUGAUCCUGGCUCAGGACGAACGCUGGCGGCGUGCCUAAUACAUGCAAGUAGAACGCUGAAGAGAGGAGCUUGCUCUUCUUGGAUGAGUUGCGAACGGGUGAGUAACGCGUAGGUAACCUGCCUUGUAGCGGGGGAUAACUAUUGGAAACGAUAGCUAAUACCGCAUAACAAUGGAUGACCCAUGUCAUUUAUUUGAAAGGGGCAAAUGCUCCACUACAAGAUGGACCUGCGUUGUAUUAGCUAGUAGGUGAGGUAACGGCUCACCUAGGCGACGAUACAUAGCCGACCUGAGAGGGUGAUCGGCCACACUGGGACUGAGACACGGCCCAGACUCCUACGGGAGGCAGCAGUAGGGAAUCUUCGGCAAUGGGGGCAACCCUGACCGAGCAACGCCGCGUGAGUGAAGAAGGUUUUCGGAUCGUAAAGCUCUGUUGUAAGUCAAGAACGAGUGUGAGAGUGGAAAGUUCACACUGUGACGGUAGCUUACCAGAAAGGGACGGCUAACUACGUGCCAGCAGCCGCGGUAAUACGUAGGUCCCGAGCGUUGUCCGGAUUUAUUGGGCGUAAAGCGAGCGCAGGCGGUUUGAUAAGUCUGAAGUUAAAGGCUGUGGCUCAACCAUAGUUCGCUUUGGAAACUGUCAAACUUGAGUGCAGAAGGGGAGAGUGGAAUUCCAUGUGUAGCGGUGAAAUGCGUAGAUAUAUGGAGGAACACCGGUGGCGAAAGCGGCUCUCUGGUCUGUAACUGACGCUGAGGCUCGAAAGCGUGGGGAGCGAACAGGAUUAGAUACCCUGGUAGUCCACGCCGUAAACGAUGAGUGCUAGGUGUUGGAUCCUUUCCGGGAUUCAGUGCCGCAGCUAACGCAUUAAGCACUCCGCCUGGGGAGUACGACCGCAAGGUUGAAACUCAAAGGAAUUGAC
rnacentral:rRNA from 1 species